rnacentral:miRNA from 1 species
GUAGCGGUUUAUAAGGAUA